rnacentral:tRNA from 1 species
UUCCUUUCGGUGUUUGGCACAGGAAAAUUUGAGUUUCCAGGAGAAUUAACUUCAAAGGAAA